UCUUGGGGUCAGAUCAGCUGCGCGGGGCUCAGUCCGGGCCGGUCCAAGAGAGGAGCCUCUCCUGGGUGCCUUCGGGACGCCCACCCUGGACGGCUGGCUGGAGCGGGGGAGGCAAGCGAGCGAGGGCUUGCAGCCCGCUACCCCGAUCAGCUGCUUCCUUCCUUCCUUCCUGAGGAACCCCCGAGUCCCGACCCUCUUUUCUCUCCCCUUUCUCCUCCUCUUCCUCCGGUCUGGUUCAAUGGCGAAAGCGGCGGAGUUGAAUGGCGAAGCUCCACCAGCGCCCCCUGCUGACCGGCUCCAUCCUCGCAGAUCCUUCCCUUCAAACCCACCACGGAUGCAAAAGAUUAUGCAUACUUUUUUGAAGGAGACCUGGGUGAUCCUCAUAAUUAUCGUCCACUAAGUCUUUUGGAAGUCUCUACUAAAAUAUAUGCUUAUCUGUUGAACAAGCUCGAGUUAUGGGUUGAAGAAAAUCAGACGCUGUCACCCACGCUGGCUUCCAUAAGGACCAUAGUACAAUAGACCAGGAUUUUGCUUUGCAUUCUUUUUAAUCCACAAAUACGUUAAGAGGCCCACCUAAAAGGUUGUGUGUGGCAUCUGUUCAACUUACACCUGCAUUUGAUUCUAAAGAUAAUAACCGGCUCUGAGAGAAAAUGGCAGCUACUCACUAGACCAACAAUUGCUUUUAAUACAGAAGCUCUAUUCUAAUAUUGACUUCAAAAUUCAAACUGGUCAGGAGGAUGUCCUUUCAGAGCCAGUAUUUACAUCUAAGGGCGUGAAACAUGGAUGCAUCUUAAAGAUCUGUCUGUGUGCAGUGCCCAAGGACUCUUCAUGUGCCUCCAGGGAAUCUAUGUGUUCCUCCUUCACAGAACCCUGAAACAAUAAGGACAAUCCUACUCAGAACAGAGGGGAAAAAGACUGGGAGCAUAACUGAUAAGAGCAAGAUAUACAAUUUUUUUCUGCCAUAAAAAUUAUUUGUUUACGUUGGGA